CGUUGCCCAGGCUGGUCUUGAACUCCUGAGCUCAAGUGAUCUGCCUGCCUCAGACUCCCAAAGUGCUGGGAUUACAGGCAUGAGCCACCAUGCCUGGAUUAAAUAUACUUUUGGCUUAUGGUGUUAUCAAUGAACAAUGAGUUUAUUGGGACAUAACCCCAUUGUAAGUCAAGGAACAUCUGUAAAUCAAUUAAAAAAUGGACACAGGACCUGAAUAGACGUUUCUCAAGAGAAGACAUACCAAUAGGUGUAUGAGAAAACGCUCAUCAUCAAUCAUGAUGGAAAUGAAAAUUAAAACCACAAUAAGAUAGCACCUCACACCUGCUAGGAUGGCUAAGGAUGUGGAGAAAAGCAAACCCUUGCACAUUUGUUGGGGAUGUUAGUACAGCCAUUAUGUAAAACAAUAUGUAGGUUCUGCAAAAAAUUAAAAAUAGAACUCCUGUAUGAUCCAGCAAUCCCACUACUGGGGAUAUGUCCAAAGGAAAUGAAAUCAGCAUGUGGAAGAGAUAUCUGCACUCCCAUGUUCACUGAACAUUCUUCACAGUAGCCAAGACAGGGAGUAUCCAUCAAUGGAUGAAUGGAUAAAGAAAUUAUGAUGUAUAUACACAAUGUAAUACUAUUCAGCCUCUAAAAAGAAGGAAAUCCUGUCCUUUGCAACAUGGAUGAACCUAGAGGACAUUAGGUAAGUGAAAUAAGCCAGGCACUGAAAGCCAAAUACAGCAUGAUCCCAGUUACACGGGGAAUCUAAACUCACAGAAACAAACUCAUAGAAACAAAGAAUAGGAUGGUGGUUACCGGGGUCAGGGGGUUGGGGGGCUUGAGGAGAUGUUGAUUAAAAGAUUAAAAUUUUCAUUUAGACAGGAGGAAGUUCAAGACAUCUAUUGUACAACAUGGUGACUAUAGUUAAUAACAAUAUAUUGUAUACUUGAAAAUUGCUAAGAGUAGAUUUUAAGUGUUCUCAUCACAAAAAAAGUAUGUGAGAUAAUGCACAGGUUAAUUAGCUUGGGUCAGCCAUUCUACAUGUCAAAAUAUCAAAACACGCUGUACACACAAAUAUAUACAUUUUUGUCAAUUAAAAAAAGUUAUGGAUUUUACUUUAUCUGGAAAAAAACAAGAGAUACAAGAGAACAAACCAACACCAGAAGCCACUGUGACCACUUGAGCCCACCCAUGGGGGGAUGGGUACUUUACAUGUGUUAUAUCUUAUCUGGCUCUCUCCAAUCCUGCAGGGCAGGUGGCAUCUCUACUUAACCAUGAGGGAACAGAGGCUCAGCCAGCACAUUGAGGCACCAGAAUUCAAAAGCCCGGUAUCCUCCCAGGACUCCAUCAAAGCAGAUGUGCAGAGGGCAGUAGGGCCUGAGCCAGAACCAACACCCCUGGGGGAGGCCAAUGGGACCUUUAGGAAAAUGAGACAGGCACAGGAAAGAGAUGUCUAAAGCCACCAUUCUGGGUUUGGGAAUGUAAAGAACUUCAAAUCAGAUAAAUGAAGACUGCAGAAGAAAGAGGAAGAAAUGGAAGUUGCUCUCUGACAGGACAUGAAUUUGGCAAGGGGUGGAUUAGGCCGAGUGCUAUCUGCAGUGAUGAAACGCAGCAGCUGGUGGUCAUGAAAUAGUUAUGAAUGGGGAGAGGACGCUGUAUUCUGCAGUGUAGCACAGGGGAAAGCGAAGUUUCAAGAAUAUUGUAAUAGCAAAACCCUCCAUUAAUUAUCGGAAGCAAGCUGUAAUGCCAGUUCCUAUGGCAACGGGGUCCCCAAUGGAUUUUGUGCUUUUUUCAAAGCCGCUCCCAUUUACUAUGGUACAUUGUGUUUGUUUUCUACCAGAGAUUUUGUGCUUGUCCUCUGCAAAUGAAUUCAUCCUGUCCUCACAGUGGCUGGUGUGGAGACCGACAGGCUGGGGCCUGGGGAAAGUUAAAGAUCAUGCAACUUAGAGCUAAAUGCUCUGUAAGGGCAUUGAUGACCGCUAUGAGCACCUUCACUUCUGAGGGGAAAAGGAGGGGAGGGCAGGAAAGAGGUGUGGGAGGGAAUAACUAGGGUGCAUGGCUAAUUAGAGGGCAUCUAUCCUAGCCCCCACAUGCAUGGUCUUUGCAAUCCAGGCUUGCACCAGGGAAGAGUCCUUGAACCCAGCUGGGCUCUCCAACAACGUGCCUGCUGCAGCUGCAGUGGAAGCUGAUAAUUGCUCAGAAAGCUCAGACACAGAGUCCUCUGGGGUAAGGGUGUUGGAGAGAACAGUGGCUUGGUUCCCAGGGGAGCAGGCUGCCCCUCCCAGAGAAGCACUGCAGGCCUCCUCCACCUGUAGGCCCAAUCUCUCUGCACCCCGUGCCCCAUUACUUAUCACUUCCCCCCACCUCAGUGUGAAGUGGGAGUUUAAUUUGGUGGCCCUUUGAAUGCAGGUCUUCCAGGGGAGAUGUUCUGUGCUUGCCUGGCCAUGGGCUGCUGUUCACAGAAACAUUCUGUCCCAGGCCACAGGAGCGCCUCAGAGCCACUCCGGGGCGUGGGCGAAGUGGUCAACAGCGGCUUCCUCCAUCCUGCCCCGGAUGAAUGACUCUGACAACCUGAUGGCAGAGCAGCCUGCCGCUCACUCAGGAAGAGGCUGCCUCCAGGUGGGGAGCUUGUACGUUUCCCUCUUAGGGCUGCAGCUGUGGCUUGGGAGGUGUCCCGUCUCUUUGGUGGCCUCAUGAGGGCUGUGUCAGUCCUGAUAAAUGGCAUAGGAUGGGGAGUCCCCUUAAUGGGGGUCAGUACAGGUCUCCUGUCCAUGGGGCUAUUCCAGGCCAAAAAUAGAUUCUACCACAGCAGAAUGAUUAUGCUGGCUCUACUGUGCUUUCUAAGUCAUCAAAGGGACUCACAAACAUGUGUGAGUAGAACUGGGAGGACGCCAGAAGAGGGAUGAAAUAAAGAUUGUGUAUGUAUAUGUUUCUUUUUGUGGAAUUCUACCUGGAGCCAUAGGAACGUGACUUACCACUCAUGGGAAAGGCUGUGCCCAGAGCCAAGGAGGAGCUGUGGGGACGUCUCUCCCAAGUCAUCCGUUCUCCCCAUUUAGACUUCAUCCUUAGGACGGACCUUCAGGCACCCAGGCUGCCUACUGACCUCCCUGGCAUGGGUGGGAACCGGGAGCUCGUUGGUAAGCAGGAGGAUUCAGGACUAUCGACUGAACACCUCCUCCUCCGUGGCACACACCGCGCUGUGUCUUUGCUGUCAUCAUCUCAUCACCUCUGCACGGGAAGAUUAUCUCCCCCACUUCGUGAUGAGGAAAUGGAGGCUCCAGGUGGAAAGAUGCAACCUGGGCCAGAGGCCCCUGGAGGUUGUGCCCGAACCCAGACAGAUCACACAAACCUGAGCAGCCAUUAGCAGCUGUGUGGGCUCCUUUGCACUGUGGGGCUGCUCCUGGGGAUAUUUACGUUGUGAACUGCAGAAUAUCAAUUUCCAGACAUUCUUCCUAGAUGAUGCAGUCUGCCACAGACAAGGAAAUGACUGAGAGAACAGACAACCAGCCCUAAGGCCCAGUGCCUGCCUGCGAGGUGAGCCAAUGGCCUGUCCUGAGCCCUCCCUCCGGCCA